ACUUUCAGCUUCGGAUCACUUGGCUCUGGGGUCCAUGAAGAACGCAGGUUGAAUGGAAUAAGUAAUGUGAAUUGCAGAAUUAAUUGAAUCAUCGAAUCUUUGAACGCACAUUGUGCCCGACAGUAUUCUGGCGGGCAUGCCUGUUCUAGCGUCAUUAC
rnacentral:rRNA from 1 species